AACAGGAUUAGAUACCCUGGUAGUCCACGCUGUAAACGAUGUCGAUUUGGAGGUUGUGCCCUUGAGGCGUGGCUUCCGGAGCUAACGCGUUAAAUCGACCGCCUGGGGAGUACGGCCGCAAGGUUAAAACUCAAAUGAAUUGACGGGGGCCUGCACAAGCGGUGGAGCAUGUGGUUUAAUUCGAUGCAACGCGAAGAACCUUACCUACUCUUGACAUCCAGAGAACUUUCCAGAGAUGGAUUGGUGCCUUCGGGAACUCUGAGACAGGUGCUGCAUGGCUGUCGUCAGCUCGUGUUGUGAAAUGUUGGGUUAAGUCCCGCAACGAGCGCAACCCUUAUCCUUUGUUGCCAGCGGUUCGGCCGGGAACUCAAAGGAGACUGCCAGUGAUAAACUGGAGGAAGGUGGGGAUGACGUCAAGUCAUCAUGGCCCUUACGAGUAGGGCUACACACGUGCUACAAUGGCGUAUACAAAGAGAAGCGACCUCGCGAGAGCAAGCGGACCUCAUAAAGUACGUCGUAGUCCGGAUUGGAGUCUGCAACUCGACUCCAUGAAGUCGGAAUCGCUAGUAAUCGUAGAUCAGAAUGCUACGGUGAAUACGUUCCCGGGCCUUGUACACACCGCCCGUCACACCAUGGGAGUGGGUUGCAAAAGAAGUAGGUAGCUUAACCUUCGGGAGGGCGCUUACCACUUUGUGAUUCAUGACUGGGGUGAAGUCGUAACAAGGUAACCGUAGGGGAACCUGCGGCUGGAUCACCUCCUU
rnacentral:rRNA from 1 species